rnacentral:rRNA from 1 species
CCUACGGGAGACAGCAGUGAGGAAUAUUGGGCAAUGGACGAGAGUCUGACCCAGCCAAGCAGCGUGAAGGAUGACUGCCCUAUGGGUUGUAAACUUCUUUUAUAUGGGAAUAAAAUGUUCCACGUGUGGGAUUUUGUAUGUACCAUAUGAAUAAGGAUCGGCUAACUCCGUGCCAGCAGCCGCGGUAAUACGGAGGAUCCGAGCGUUAUCCGGAUUUAUUGGGUUUAAAGGGAGCGUAGGUGGAUUGUUAAGUCAGUUGUGAAAGUUUGCGGCUCAACCGUAAAAUUGCAUUUGAAACUGGCAGUCUUGAGUACAGUAGAGGUGGGCGGAAUUCGUGGUGUAGCGGUGAAAUGCUUAGAUAUCACGAAGAACUCCGAUGGCGAAGGCAGCUCACUGGACUGCAACUGACACUGAGGCUCGAAAGUGUGGGUAUCAAACAGGAUUAGAUACCCCUGUAGUC